rnacentral:rRNA from 1 species
GCUUACCAUGCAGUCGAGCGGUAAGGCCCUUCGGGGUACACGAGCGGCGAACGGGUGAGUAACACGUGAGCAACCUGCCCCUGACUCCGGGAUAAGCGGUGGAAACGCCGUCUAAUACCGGAUACGACCCGCCACCUCAUGGUGGAGGGUGGAAAGUUUUUCGGUCAGGGAUGGGCUCGCGGCCUAUCAGCUUGUUGGUGGGGUAACGGCCUACCAAGGCGAUUACGGGUAGCCGGCCUGAGAGGGCGACCGGCCACACUGGGACUGAGACACGGCCCAGACUCCUGCGGGAGGCAGCAGUGGGGAAUAUUGCGCAAUGGGCGAAAGCCUGACGCAGCGACGCCGCGUGGGGGAUGACGGCCUUCGGGUUGUAAACCUCUUUUACCACCAACGCAGGCCCGGAGUUCUCUUCGGGUUGACGGUAGGUGGGGAAUAAGGACCGGCUAACUACGUGCCAGCAGCCGCGGUAAUACGUAGGGUCCGAGCGUUGUCCGGAAUUAUUGGGCGUAAAGAGCUCGUAGGCGGCGUGUCGCGUCUGCUGUGAAAGACCGGGGCUUAACUCCGGUUCUGCAGUGGAUACGGGCAUGCUAGAGGUAGGUAGGGGAGACUGGAAUUCCUGGUGUAGCGGUGAAAUGCGCAGAUAUCAGGAGGAACACCGGUGGCGAAGGCGGGUCUCUGGGCCUUACCUGACGCUGAGGAGCGAAAGCAUGGGGAGCGAACAGGAUUAGAUACCCUGGUAGUCCAUGCCGUAAACGUUGGGCGCUAGGUGUGGGGACUUUCUACGGGUUCCGCGCCGUAGCUAACGCAUUAAGCGCCCCGCCUGGGGAGUACGGCCGCAAGGCUAAAACUCAAGGAAUUGACGGGGGCCCGCACAAGCGGCGGAGCAUGUUGCUAAUUCGACGCAACGCGAGAACUUACCAAGGUUUGACAUCACCCGUGACUCGCAGAGAUGUGAGGUCAUUUAGUUGC